GCUGUACAAACUCUGCCGUCUUCAUAUCCAAGAGGCAGGCUGCUGACCCACGUCAAUACCGAAGUAAAUGCCAGGGAUCUUUAGUUUGUGAAAGGCGGUGAGUUGUGACGACUGCUGUCCUGAGACCAUUGAGUGCAGUCUGGAAUAUUCCAAAUGUGUGCCAGUUCCAUAAGAAAAAAGUUCCAAUCAAGAGUACACUCACCAGUGGGCUCAAUAGUCCAGGACAAAGUCGGUCUGUCCUUCUACUACUACAUGCUACUUGACUUUGUCUGGAAGCCAUGGAUGCUGCCCUCAACAUGCUAAACCCUCACAAAUAAGCUGAUAUCAAGAAUUAACAUUGAUGGUGAUGAUGGAAAGGCCUUCAUAAGGU